GGCACUUCCGCAGCUGAAGUGCUGGGAGCUUGCAGCCAGAAGCCCUGAGUGCACCAUCAUAGAGCAAGAUCCAGCUCCACUACCACAGCCAGUGCCUUGCCUUUCUUCUAGAGGAAGAGUAAGAGAUAUGGGUGAAAGAGUUAUCCGGAAUGGAAUGCUGAGGAGACCCUAAAGGGAA
rnacentral:antisense_RNA from 1 species